UACGGGGGAGCAAGCGUUGUUCGGAUUUACGUGGCGUAAAGGGCGCGUAGGCGGCCUACCGCAAGUCGACUGUCGAAAUCUCCGGGCUUAACCCCGGGAAAGGUCAGCCGAUACUGCGGGGCUAGAGUGCAGAAGGGGCAACUGGAAUUCUCGGUGUAGUGGUGGAAUGCGUAGAGAUCCGGAGGAACACCAGCCGGCGAAGGCGGACAUCCGUGGACCUGUAC
rnacentral:rRNA from 1 species